rnacentral:rRNA from 1 species
CCUACGGUGGCUGCAGUGGGGAAUAUUGCACAAUGGGGGAAACCCUGAUGCAGCGACGCCGCGUGAGUGAAGAAGUAAUUCGUUAUGUAAAGCUCUAUCAGCAGGGAAGAAAAUGACGGUACCUGAGUAAGAAGCUCCGGCUAACUACGUUCCAGCAGCCGCGGUAAUACGUAGGGGGCAAGCGUUAUCCGGAGUUACUGGGUGUAAAGGGAGCGUAGCCGGCAGUGCCAGGCUGGAGGGAAAGGCGGGGGCCCAACCCCCGGACUGCUCUGGCAACUUGACGGAUGGAGUGCAGGAGAGGUAAGUGGAAUUACUAGUGUAGCGGUGAAAUGCGUAGAUAUUAGGAGGAACACCAGUGGCGAAGGCGGCUUACUGGACUGUAACUGACGUUGAGGCUCGAAAGCGUGGGGAGCAAACAGGAUUAGAUACCCCUGUAGUC